rnacentral:rRNA from 1 species
CCUACGGGAGGCAGCAGUGGGGAAUAUUGCACAAUGGGCGAAACCCUGAUGCAGCGACGCCGCGUGGGUGAAGAAGCGCCUCGGCGCGUAAAGCCCUGUCAGCAGGGAAGAAAAUGACGGUAUCUGAAGAAGAAGCACCGGCUAACUACGUGCCAGCAGCCGCGGUAAGACGUAGGGGGCAAGCGUUAUACGGAUUUACUGGGUGUAAAGGGGGCGCAGACGGCGAGGCAAGCCAGGAGUGAAAGCCCCGGGCCCAACCACGGGACUGCUCGUGGAACUGGCUGGCUUGAGUGCAGGAGGGGCAGGCGGAAUUCCUGGUGUAGCGGUGAAAUGCGUAGAGAUCAGGAGGAACACCGGUGGCGAAGGCGGCCUGCUGGACUGCAACUGACGUUGAGGCCCGAAAGCGUGGGGAGCAAACAGGAUUAGAUACCCGGGUAGUC